CACGUAGGGGACGAGCGUUGUCCGGAAUCAUUGGGCGUAAAGCGCGCGUAGGCGGCCCGGAAAGUCGGUUGUGAAAUCCUGGGGCUCAACCCCGGAACUGCAUCCGAUACUUCCGGGCUGGAGGCAGGUAGGGGAGAUCGGAAUUCCUGGUGUAGCGGUGAAAUGCGCAGAUAUCAGGAGGAACACCGGUGGCGAAGGCGGAUCUCUGGGCCUUGCCUGACGCUGAGGCGCGAAAGCUAGGGGAGCGAACAGG
rnacentral:rRNA from 1 species